rnacentral:rRNA from 1 species
CCUACGGGAGGCAGCAGUGAGGAAUAUUGGUCAAUGGGCGAGAGCCUGAACCAGCCAAGUAGCGUGCAGGAUGACGGCCCUAUGGGUUGUAAACUGCUUUUAUAAGGGAAUAAAGUGGGUCACGUGUGACUUUUUGCAUGUACCUUAUGAAUAAGGACCGGCUAAUUCCGUGCCAGCAGC